rnacentral:rRNA from 1 species
CGCGUAGGCUGUUUUGUCAGUCGGAUGUGAAAUCCCCGGGCUUAACCUGGGAACUGCAUUCGAUACUGCAUAACUAGAGUAUGGUAGAGGGAAGUGGAAUUUCCGGUAAAGUGCGGUGAAAUGCGUAGAUAUCGGAAGGAACACCAGUGGCGAAGGCGACUUCCUGGGCCAAUACUGACGCUGAGGUGCGAAAGCGUGGGGAGCAAACA